rnacentral:lncRNA from 1 species
GCCAUGACGACGACCAAACAUAACCAUAUAAAAUGGAUCAGAAGAGGUGGUGCCCUCGAUCCAGAAAAUUCCUACAUAUUCCCACAAAAGGCCUGAGCACCUCUCUUCUUUGUUAGCCUGCCCUCCCAUUUAUUUCUUUCACUGUGCUUAUGCUUCCCCCCUUUUGGAGGUGAAGAAGUUGACUUUGAACUCCACUCUGCCUUCUCCACUCUUUGUUUGGGCUCCGAAGUAACUUCUGCUUUCAUCAUGGACUCAGCUAUAUAUAGUCUUGUCUAUGUGGCACUAACGUUAAAACAAGUGAGAAUGAACACAUUUGCCUUUCGGCAUGGUUGGGAAACAUCUGGUCCGGACCGGAUGAUACUUGGGCUCCCGUAGGACACAAGAGAAAGAAAAAGAGAAAACCCACAAGCUGCCUGCAAGGUGAAACAUCCGGCAGUUCGGAGCGAAGAUCUGAAUUCCUGGCAGUAUGUCCCUGCAGCCAAGCUCAGUGUCUGCCGUGAAUUAUCUGCUCAGUGACAGUUGAACAAACUGAUAAAUGGAUGCAG